ACCGCGGUUAUACAAAUAAUACAACUAAAAUUUAUUAGUAAUAGUUAAUUUGUUUUAAUAAAAUUUAAUUUAAAUUUUUUAAGUGAAAUUUUAAAUUUGAUUAAUUUUAUAAUUAUUUUUAAUGAAGCUAAGAACCUUUAAUAGUAAACUAGGAUUAGAUACCCUAUUAUUUAAAGAGUAAAUAUUAAUACUUGAGUAGUAGUAGUUAUGAUCUUCAAACUUAAAGAAUUUGGCGGUGUUUUAGUCUAUUUAGAGGAAUCUGUUCUGUAAUCGAUAAUCCACGUUGGACCUUACUUAAAUUUGUAAUCAAUUUGUAUAUCGCCGUUAUCAGAAUAUCUUAAAAGAGAAAUAAUUUUCUUAAUUUAUUAUUAUAAUUGAUGUCAGGUCAAGGUGCAGUUUAUAUUUUAGUAGAAAUGGAUUACAAUAAAUUUAUUUAUACAGUAAAUUAUUUGAAAUAAUAAUUUUAAGGUGGAUUUAAAAGUAAAAUAAUAAAUAUUAUUUAUUUGAUUAUAGCUCUAAAACAUGCACAC
rnacentral:rRNA from 1 species